ACAAAAAAAAUCUCCAGUGAAGACCAAAUCAAGCAUAAACUACAACCCACCGCCAGUAAGGGUUUUCAUUAGUCUAUUAGGAAAGAUGAGGAUUUAGGGUUUAAGAAUAUGGAUCAAGUUGAGAACAAGUUGGAACCGGUUGAGCAACCGGUGCAUCGCCUGAGCCGGUUUGAACAGGUUUAAGGUCUAUAGAUCUACAUAUAACUUAAAGUUCUUCAGUCAGACUAGUGGUGAUGAUUUGGUGCUUUGGACGCUAGAAACCAUGGUAGAAGACAGUGGUGGCUGAUGGUUUCACCAUCAAGUAUCUAGGGUUCAGAUCCUCAACUAUCUAGGGUUCCGGUGAACUUUUGACGCUUGACAAGCUAGGUGAAAGCUUGGGAAGGAAGCGGGUCAAACGGAUCAAGAAUGACGGAAAAGCAUAAAUUGGAUGCUAGGUAUAAGGGAAAGUAUCGGAGGAUGAUCAAGCUCGAUAAAGAACCGAACACAAUCAAGAUUCAAGUUUCCGCAAAAUGACUCGUCGUUAUGUUUUUAAACGGCGAAUGUUUUAUGAAAUGUUGAAUUGUGUUAUUUCUUAAAAGUUUUUAAGAAAUUCAUAUUUUGUAAUGUAUGUGUAAGUAGAAUUAAAUAAUUAUAGUCGAAAAUUAUAUGAAAAUCGUAUAAAUGGACUAAGGGUCUUACGUGUAGGUUAAGGUGAUUGUCACUCGCAACAAAGUCAGUUUUGUACUAUAUUUAAAUUUAGUUUCAUCAAUGCAUGCUUUCAAUCUAA